rnacentral:rRNA from 1 species
GAGCGCCCCGCAAGGGGAGCGGCAGACGGGAGAGUAACACGUGGGAACGUACCCUUCGGUUCGGAACAACCCAGGGAAACUUGGGCUAAUACCGGAUACGUCCGAAAGGAGAAAGAUUCAUCGCCGAAGGAUCGGCCCGCGUCUGAUUAGCUUGUUGGUGAGGUAACGGCUCACCAAGCCGACGAUCAGUAGCUGGUCUGAGAGGAUGAUCAGCCACACUGGGACUGAGACACGGCCCAGACUCCUACGGGAGGCAGCAGUGGGGAAUAUUGGACAAUGGGCGAAAGCCUGAUCCAGCCAUGCCGCGUGAGUGAAGAAGGCCUUCGGGUUGUAAAGCUCUUUCGGCGGGGACGAUGAUGACGGUACCCGCAUAAGAAGCCCCGGCAAACUUCGUG